GAAUCUCCCUGUUUUUCCUCAGCAUCAAUGCACAUUCUCAGUUCUUGGUUUGUGCUUGUGGAUGUGGUUCUCAAGCCCUGGUGUGUGACAGAAUUACUUAAGAGACUCAUUAAAAAUACCAGCACUAGCUUCAUCCUGUUCUUCCUUGUGUGAUGGUCUCUUUCUGCCCAGCUCUGCUUGCCGAAGUCCUGUCUUCUUUGAAGGCUGUCUUCAGAUUCCCCAGCAGCCCAACUUAGACAGCGUUUUAAAUUUGACCAAGACCACAGAGACGUUCACCAACUCCAUUUCCUUUUCUGGGCACACAGGAGGCAUUUCUCAGCCUCCCCUGCAACCUGAGAGAUCUUUCUUGUUCUCUCUGCUUCCAUGGCUACGAGAAGGCCAGUGCUGAAGAUCUUGGUGUCACAAGAUGGAAGGAGCCUGGAUCCCUGAGUUACUCCUUGGAGGGGAGCAGCCAAGCAGAGUUGCCCACUUGGUCUGGACUGUGAUGUGAGUAGAAAAUGAAACUUCCGUUUUGUUGAUACCACUCAGAUUGGGAGUUGUUUGUUGCGGCAAUUGCUGUUGGUUUUCUUUGUUGAUGCAUUUGUACUACACGGCUAAAUUAGAUAAAAAUAACUAAAUUUGGGAAAAGGAACACGUUGAGUUGAAAAAUUACUUUCUAUAGAGCAAUAAAAAUGAAUGAAAUACAGUCA
rnacentral:lncRNA from 1 species